CCUACGGGAGGCAGCAGUGGGGAAUUUUCCGCAAUGGGCGAAAGCCUGACGGAGCAAUACCGCGUGAGGGAAGAAAGCCUACUGGGUUGUAAACCUCUUUUUUCAGGGAGGAAAAAAAUGACGUGUACCUGAAGAAUAAGCAUCGGCUAACUCCGUGCCAGCAGCCGCGGUAAGACGGAGGAUGCAAGUGUUAUCCGGAAUUACUGGGCGUAAAGCGUCUGUAGGUGGUUUAAUAAGUCAACUGUUAAAUCUUGAGGCUUAACUUCAAAACAGCAGUCGAAACUAUUAGACUAGAGUAUAGUAGGGGUAAAGGGAAUUUCCAGUGGAGCGGUGAAAUGCGUAGAUAUUGGAAAGAACACCGAUGGCGAAAGCACUUUACUGGGCUAUUACUAACACUCAGAGACGAAAGCUAGGGUAGCAAAUGGGAUUAGAUACCCCAGUAGUCCUAGCUGUAAACAAUGGAUACUAGAUGUUGAACAGAUCGACCUGUGCAGUAUUAAAGCUAACGCGUUAAGUUCCCGCCCUGGAAGUUUC
rnacentral:rRNA from 1 species